UACGUAGGGGGGCAAGCGUUGUCCGGAUUUACUGGGCGUAAAGAGCGUGUAGGCGGCCACGCAGGUCCGUUGUGAAAACUGGAGGCUCAACCUCCAGCUGUCGACGGAAACCGUAUGGCUAGAGUCCGGAAGAGGAGAGUGGAAUUCCUGGUGUAGCGGUGAAAUGCGCAGAUAUCAGGAAGAACACCAAUGGCGAAGGCAGCUCUCUGGGACGGUACUGACGCUGAGACGCGAAAGCGUGGGGAGCGAACAGG
rnacentral:rRNA from 1 species